AACGUAGGAGCCAAGCGUUAUCCGAAUUCACUGGGCGUAAAGCGCGUGCAGGCGGCCUGGUAAGUUGGAUGUGAAAUCUCCUGGCUCAACUGGGAGAGGCCGUUCAAUACUGUCAGGCUAGAGGGCGACAGAGGGAGGUAGAAUUCCCGGUGUAGUGGUGAAAUGCGUAGAUAUCGGGAGGAAUACCAGAGGCGAAGGCGACCUCCUGGGUCGUACCUGACGCUCAGAUGCGAAAGCUAGGGGAGCGAACGGGAUUAGAUACCCCCGUAGUCC
rnacentral:rRNA from 1 species